rfam:Gossypium hirsutum cultivar TM-1 chromosome 20, whole genome shotgun sequence
UGUUAAAAAUUACAUUCAUUUGUACUAUUAAAAACUUAUGUGGUUAAUGAAAUAACCAGAUAGUCAUAUAUGACAUGUCAUGUGUAUCUCAUACUAACGUAUAAUAUAAUUUUUAAUAAUAAAAAUAGAUGAAAUUUUUAACA